rnacentral:RNase_P_RNA from 1 species
GAGGGAGGUCGGGAAGUCGCGUCCCCGAUCAGGGGAUGAGGAAAGUCCGAGCUCCAAAGGGCAGGGUGCCACCUAACAGGUGGGCGCGGUAACGCGACGGAUAGGGCCACAGAAACAAGACAGCCGAUGGCCCGAACGGGCUCAGGCUAAGGUGAAACCGUGGGGUAAGAGCCCACGAUGGUGUCACGCAAGUGGCACCAUGGCAACCCCCACCCGGAGCAAGGUCAAGCAGGGGCGAAGGAGUGGCCCGCUCCAAGUCACCCGUAUGGGUGUACUCCGAGUCACCCGUAUGGGUGUACUCCAAGUCACCCGUAUGGGUGACUAAGCCCCGGGUGGACCGCUAAAAUCCACCGGUGACGGUGGAUUAAGAGAAAUGACUUCCCUCGACAGAACUCGGCUUACAGACCUCCCUCACCC